rnacentral:lncRNA from 1 species
GAGGCUGCUCCCCAGGGGACCCAUAACUGUCUCUGCAAGGAACAGCCCCGAGCCUGAGCACUUUAGGAUAUUCAAAGGCAAAAACUGCAAGAACCACAUCCGCGUUGACGUAGCUGCAAGGAAGCAGGUUCAGAGCUGGACUGGGCAGUCAGCGAGACAGCGCAAUGGGGGCCGGUAUUUCCCACGGGACUUUCCAGGUUGGCUGAGCAGCAAGCCAGCAGGAGGGAAGAGGGCCUGAAGAGAGCACUAGGAACCAGAGACGGCGAGCAAGAACGGCAGACGGAGACAGGCAGAGACACACGAGGGUCUACCUGUCAGAGCUGACAGGUAAAGGCCACGUCUCCAUGGGAGAGAGGCAGCACAGGCUUGGGUUCUGGGAUUUUUAUAGCUCAGGCUGAGGACUCAGAGCGGUGGGUCCUACGGGAGUUAAGGGUGGGGUUGGUAGGCGGGAGUGCUGGGCCUUUCUCAGAAAGGACCUUGGGCAGGAAGGCGAAAAUUUUUCCUUAAAAUGGCGGCUGUCUCUUGAGAUGGCUGUCCAGAUGCCAAGCAAGGACCUUAUAGGGUCAAAAUGGCCCGAGUUCAGUACACAUUAGAGAACAGUUACCAACGUCGACACAAUCAAUCUCUGUCAAGGUACAUUGCCCAAGAGAAAUGGAAACCAAAGCGACCAGUUUCACACUGUAUAAGGACUGCCAUUUGGGUUGCCAGGUGUGCUGUGCUAGGUGACUACUAACGGGCCCCGGCGGGGCUUCCCUGGGAGCAGCACUUCUUACAUGAUAUGGAGUCUCGGGGUAGCCUGGCCCACAACAGCAGCGGGUAGAGACCUCCAGUGUCUCACCUGCAAUCCCACAUCUCAGAAGCUCUGAAAGCCAAGUGCUUUUGGUUUAAGUUUCAUGAAAAGGCAGCGAGGCAAAGCCUGCCAACAGCGGAUCUAAGCUGCUUUCCAUCCUGGCUUAUCCGAAGGCGCGGUCACUUACACGUUUUGCCUGCCCGCUCAGCUGCUGCCCGUCCUCCUGUGAGUGCUGUGUUAUGCAGUUAAGGUGGCGCUCUACGUCCACAUUCCAAAGAGAGCGCGAGUCUACCCUCUGUCCUCCAAGGUUGGGGAACCUAUGAGGUCCUGGGAGUGGGCAGGGGCCUGGGCGAGAGGGCGUGGUGUGGAGUGCGGGGCCACCUCCAGCUCCACCUGGUGUCAGUCAGCUUUCUUCUCCUCUGAGGCCAAAGGACCCAAGAACGAUUUGAGGAGGAAAAGUUUAUUUUGUCUCAUGACUUCAGAGGUCUCAGUCCAUGGCUCUGGGCCCAAGGUGGGGUAGAAUAUCAUGGCAGAAGAACACGGCCGAGGGGAGGCUCAGGACAUGGCCACGAGGAAGCAGAGCAAGCUCCAGAGAGCUCUACUCUCCAGGGACAAAAUGUGGACCCCAGAGGCCAAGUCCCCAGAGGCCCAUCUCCUCCAGCCACACCCCCUGCCCACAGUGACGCGCAGUUAACCCCUCUCAUAACCCAAUCAUUUCCCCGCUGACAAUCAUUGCCCUCUGGUCCACGAGAGUCGGGGACACUGCCCGUCUAAGCACAGCAGUCCUGCUUUCUGACUUUCCUUGGAAGCUGCGGUGUGGGAUGUGAGUCCCAAGGCAGAUGCAUUUCUGAGAUUUGGAAGGCAGAACAGAAGUGGGGGCUGCUCCUGCGCUGCUGCGGAGGGCCGUGCCAGAGCAGGUGGGCAGUGAGGCGGAGUGCAGGGCCCAGGAGGAGCCCUUGCCCACCAGGGCGCUCUCCAGGAGGGUCUGCCGAGCUGUGAGUCGCAGCUGCCUCCUGGGGAACAAGGCCAGGUAGGUCCUCACAGGCUUUACUGUGUGCAACACAAACUGUUUAGGAAAGCGAGUGUUCCGAAGCUGUGUGCCUCAGGACGGACGCCUAUGCUGGGCUGCCCGCCGCAGCCUGGGCAGUGCUCCCGUCUGGGGCGAUGCUGUGUGAACAGACCCCUCUGCUGCCACUGCAGGAAACUGUCGCCCUGACAAUCUUGUGCAGAGACAGCCCUGGACAGUGGUGGCUGGCCGUCCCCAGCCCUGGGUCCAGCAGGCUUCUCCGGGUGUUUGUUUGCUCCUCUGUGGACAGGGCUUCUGGGGAUCGGCGUGAGGGCACCGCCAGCAGCCUCCCACCUCUCCUGCUGCAUCUGGAGGCCCCGCCCAGUGGCUGCCUAAGUCAGAGACUAAGUGCACCCUGGUGCUGGCACAGUGACAGAGCCACCAGAGGUGUGUCCCAGAGCAGACCCCGCCGCGGGGAUGCACAGCUGCUCCCUCCCUGUCUCCUGGCCUCUUUCCCUCCCCCACCUCAUGCGUGGUGUGAUGGUGACAGCCACAUCUGUAAUGCUAUCCCCAGGUACGGGAUGUCAAGGCACCACUGUGGCUGAAAUAGAACUGCCACCAGGCCGGACGCCACCAGGCGACCGGCACACUCUGUCCUUCCGCGUGGAGCACGAACAUGUUUCCAUGUGUCCGAGGCAUGGUGCCAUCGUGGUAGGGGCAGCGAUGGCGUUGCUUGUGUUUGAGUGUGGGUGGGAGGACUGGUGCUGAGGGCCAGAGUGGUGCCCACGCAGCUCAGCCUAACAUGCUGAGCUGGGGUGACCAGCUCGCCUCCUGUGGACACAGCUUAGUGUCUACUGAUGGGAUGCUUUUGGUCUCUGUGCUGAGCACCAUCUGGGACAGAUCCUUCCCACAGGACAGCUUCCAGCCUGCGCCACCCUCACCGUCAGCCUCCCGAGGGGGCCAAGGAGCUCUGGUUCCCAAUUUCCCAGGUGGCUUUCUGACUGGGAGGGACAGUGUCUCUUUUUGUAUUUUUGAAGACCUUCCUGAAAGCUCAACCUUGAGUUUGUUUCUUUUGCAGCAAAUCCCUGAGUACUGUGAUUCCAUCCCUGUAAGGCACCCACCCCUUCCUGCCUUGGCCAGCUAGAGGACAGGCUGUGUUCUCCAGGGCCAGCGAAGAGGAGUCCAGCCUCAGGCACGCCCUCAGGACACCCCAGGAAGCCGAGAGCCCAGAUAGAAUGCAGGGGGCAAAG